ensembl:snoRNA
GCAUGGGUUUGGAUUUGUGGCAGGUCUGAUCCCAUGGGCCUCUCACAGUGUCCCAUGCCAAAGCAAACUGUCCCCCCGAACCAUUGCCUGGCUUUACCUGGUAGGCUUAAGGCACUGAAGUGGGUUGCACAGUA